rnacentral:rRNA from 1 species
AGUGAACGCUGGCGGUAGGCCUAACACAUGCAAGUCGAACGGCAGCACAGUAAGAGCUUGCUCUUACGGGUGGCGAGUGGCGGACGGGUGAGGAAUACAUCGGAAUCUACUUUUUCGUGGGGGAUAACGUAGGGAAACUUACGCUAAUACCGCAUACGACCUACGGGUGAAAGCAGGGGAUCUUCGGACCUUGCGCGAUUGAAUGAGCCGAUGUCGGAUUAGCUAGUUGGCGGGGUAAAGGCCCACCAAGGCGACGAUCCGUAGCUGGUCUGAGAGGAUGAUCAGCCACACUGGAACUGAGACACGGUCCAGACUCCUACGGGAGGCAGCAGUGGGGAAUAGUGGACAAUGGGCGCAAGCCUGAUCCAGCCAUACCGCGUGGGUGAAGAAGGCCUUCGGGUUGUAAAGCCCUUUUGUUGGGAAAGAAAAUCAGCAGGUUAAUACCCCGCUGUUCUGACGGUACCCAAAGAAUAAGCACCGGCUAACUUCGUG